CAAAAAGUUGUGACAUACACUUGAUAUUAAACACGUCCCAUAUUCUUCAAAAAUCUUUUACCUCAUUACUUCAAUCAUACAAACUACAUCCUCAUUAUCUACAUAAAUAAUAAAUUGAUAAAUGAAAUACAUAUAAUUGAGCAGAAUGAUCAACUUAUGAUAAAGUAAAUACACUUUUUCUUUCUUUGCAGGUGUUAUAAGGUGCCAUACAGCAUUUGAGGCGUGACCUUGCGCAAAUUAUGGUAGUUGAUGGCAUGGAAAGCAUUUCAAUUGGUUUUGAACCAAAUUUUCCGAUAGAUAAUAAUCAGACCAUUAUGACGAGAGAACAAGACCUACCUAAUCUGGAUAAUCCAGCAUCACUGAAUAUGGACAGCCGUCGCUUGAGGACAAUCGAAGAGCCUACAUAUGUUAUGCUCUGGAAGGCUGCCUCCAUAUUGCUGACCUUUUUGGUCACGCUGUGCCCGCUGGAUUUCAAGUACUGGGUUCAUGGUGCUUGAAGUUGCUGGCGAAACUCCAGAAUACUACGAACGUACUGUGUCCUACACCGGUCGUGGCAAAUGGGGACUGGUAUUGAUCGAGAUUAUAAUUUAUGGGUCCUUCGUAAUUAAUCUAGUUCGCGACGUGAUCAAAUGGCGUGUUCAUGGUCCUAGUGGCAAAUGUCAUCACCAUAGGUGGGAAAGCUCGCGAUGCUUAUAAAUGGUAUUGCGAAAUGCAGACGGAACGAGCUGAUUGGACUGAAAUAAUGGUCAUCUUUACUGAAGCUUUGGAAGUGACGGCAUUGUAUAUGAACGAAGACAAACAGAAUGUUAUAUCUCAGUGUGGAUCAAUAAUCAAAACUGCUUGGGCUCUUUAUAUUUUACUGAAAUUCAUUUAUUUUACAAACUACUCUAAACAAAAAAUGAGCAGAACAAGAGACAGUGCUGAGAUGAUUGAAUUGGAGGAAAUAAUAAAUACUACUUAAUUCCCAUUUUCCAAUUAAACAUUCAAAAA
rnacentral:lncRNA from 1 species